rnacentral:misc_RNA from 1 species
CAACCCUCAAGCGCUGUAGUGCUUGGUGUUGGGGCUUCUGCUGGUGACAGCAGGCCCUGAAAGCUAGUGGCGGGCUCGCCGUGACCCUGAGCGUAGUAGCUUACCUCGCUUCUGCGGCUCGCGGCGGGUUCCCAGCCGUGAAAACCCCCUAAUUUUCACAA